GACGAACGCUGGCGGCGUGCUUAACACAUGCAAGUCGAACGAGAGGAGAAGGAAGCUUGCUUCUUUCAAAUCUAGUGGCAAACGGGUGAGUAACACGUAAACAACCUGCCUUCAGGAUGGGGACAACAGACGGAAACGACUGCUAAUACCGAAUACGUUCCUUAGGUCGCAUGACUUUAGGAAGAAAGGGUGGCCUCUACUUGUAAGCUAUCGCCUGAAGAGGGGUUUGCGUCUGAUUAGGUAGAUGGCGGGGUAACGGCCCACCAUGCCGACGAUCAGUACGGGGUUCUGAGAGGAAGGUCCCCCACAUUGGAACUGAGACACGGUCCAAACUCCUACGGGAGGCAGCAGUGAGGAAUCUUCCGCAAUGGGCGAAAGCCUGACGGAGCAACGCCGCGUGAGUGAUGA
rnacentral:rRNA from 1 species